ACAACCGUUAUGUGAACAAAAUUAAUAUACCCUUGUGCACAAGUGCGCUCGGGUAUAAAAAAGGCGAAAAUAAAUGUAGAUUUUUCCAUUUUCCUAAGGAUAAAGUCCUCGCAAAAAAGUGGAUUCAUUUCUGUCGUCGGGAAGACAAAAUCAAUGUAAAAAAUGCGUGCAUAUGUGAAGUUCACUUUUCACCAGGAGAUUUCGAAAGGAAUUUGCAGUUUGAAAUGGGUUUAUGCUCCAGAAAUCCUACAAAGCUGCUAACCAGUGCGUUUCCGACCAUUUUAUCAACGGGCUCAAAGAAGACUGAUGAGCGUCAGGAAAGAAUUGAGUCUCGCUCAAGGAAGCAACUUGUAUCAACCCUGUUAAACAAUCCAGUUAGUUUUGUUGAAGAAAUGUGAACUGAGCAUGAUGAAGAAGCACUACAACCCAUGCUGGAAGAAGUCGUUGACGAGAAAGAGGAAAGAAUUCAACAAUUGGAAGUGAAAAUAGAAAAACUAAAGAAGAGUAUCUCAACUUUGAACAAAAAUAACCUUAAGCAGUCGGCGGAGAUAAAACGCCUAAGGAUUUGUAUCGAAACUUCGGAAUUUCACCGUGCAAAUUUGGAAGAAAAGCUCGGUUGCAUUUUCACUAAAGGUCAGGUAAGUACCGCUACUCUAUGAAUAAUUUUACACACAAUACUACAUAGUUUCUUACUCGCAAAUUGAAAAAUUGAAAAGUGGAAACAAGCGGUUGAACUGGAAAGAGGAGGACAUUGCCAAGUCCAUUACGCUGUAUUCAGCGAGUCCAAAAGCAUAUAAGCUUUUGAAAAGAAAUAAUUUUCCCUUACCAGCUGUUCGAACUCUUCAAUGGUGGUCGAAAAAAAUUGAUAUAUCUCCAGGUAUCAUAGAGCCCGUGACGAAAUUAUUGACGGCAGCAACUGAGUUAACACAAGCGCAAAAAACUUGCGCACUCAGUUUUGAUGAGAUGAAAGUGCGAAGGGCUUUCUGCUACGACAGAUCAUCUGAUGCCACAUUACCUCCUGUUAAUUACGUCCAAGUUGCAAUGUUGAGAGGUUUAAUAUGUAAAUGGAAGCAGCCUGUAUUUUAUGAGUAUGACUGCAAAAUGACAAAAAAUAUACUUUGGCACAUUUUAUCAACAGGGGUAUUCCAUGAGUAAGUGAAACUUUGUGUCCAAUUGUAGAGUAGCUUAUUGAACAUGGAAUGCUUGAUGAAUCAAUGCUCAAUACCUGAAAUUAACGUUUUUUCGAAAAAA